GGGGGCGCUUGGCUUCGACGUGAAUUACAAAACUCGAGGUGCAUGUCGAGCUUGCAAAGUAGCUCGUAAAACCAAUUGCUCAACAUAUAGUUGCAAACAAAAAAGCAUCUAACGAUGCCUUCUUCGCUGAAGACGCAAUAGCGGCCUAAGUGAACCACAACAAGUUUGUGCUUGUGCGAAUUUAGCGUGGUCAUAUUACACAAGAUCGCAUACUUAGAAGCCUAGUCUAAGUGUGUUAAAUAAAUAGGAUCGGUAUUUUGCCUUUUGCACAUUAAAGGCUCAAUAUUUAAAUCAAUCAAUGAUGCUAAGCAUGUAGUACCAACAGCGGCGGAUUUGCGGACGCGGGUUCGAUUCCCGCCGCCUCCACCA
rnacentral:tmRNA from 2 species